rnacentral:rRNA from 1 species
UACAGAGGUCUCGAGCGUUAGGCGGAAUCACUGGGCGUAAAGCGUGCGCAGGCGGUUAUGUAAGACAGGUGUGAAAUCCCCCGGGCUUAACCUGGGAACUGCAUUUGUGACUGCAUAGCUAGAGUACGGUAGAGGGGGGAUGGAAUUCCGCGUGUAGCAGUGAAAUGCGUAGAUAUGCGGAGGAACACCGAUGGCGAAGGCAAUCCCCCUGGACCUGUACUGACGCUCAUGCACGAAAGCGUGGGGGAGCAAACGAGG